rnacentral:rRNA from 1 species
AUUGAACGCUGGCGGUAUGCUUAACACAUGCAGGUCGAACGGUAACAGGCCUUCGGGCGCUGACGAGUGGCGGACGGGUGCGUAACGCGUAGGAAUCUGCCGAUUAGUGGGGGACAACGUGGGGAAACUCACGCUAAUACCGCAUACGCCCUACGGGGGAAAGCGGGGGAUCUUCGGACCUCGCGCUAAUCGAUGAGCCUGCGUGGGAUUAGCUAGUUGGUAGGGUAAAGGCCUACCAAGGCGACGAUCCCUAGCUGGUCUGAGAGGACGAUCAGCCACACUGGGACUGAGACACGGGCCAGAAUCCUACGGGAGGCAGCAGUGGGGAAUAUUGGACAAUGGGCGCAAGCCUGAUCCAGCAAUACCGCGUGUGUGAAGAAGGCCUGAGGGUUGUAAAGCACUUUUAAUCGGGAGGAAUAGCGGUCGGUUAAUACCCGGUCGUCUGACAUUACCGAUAGAAAAAGCACCGGCUAACUCCGUGCCAGCCGCCGCCGUAAGAC